GCAAGUCGAGCGGGGAUAGGGUGCUUGCACCUGAUUCCUAGCGGCGGACGGGUGAGUAAUGCUUAGGAAUCUGCCUAUUAGUGGGGGACAACAUUCCGAAAGGGAUGCUAAUACCGCAUACGCCCUACGGGGGAAAGCAGGGGAUCUUCGGACCUUGCGCUAAUAGAUGAGCCUAAGUCGGAUUAGCUAGUUGGUGGGGUAAAGGCCUACCAAGGCGACGAUCUGUAGCGGGUCUGAGAGGAUGAUCCGCCACACUGGGACUGAGACACGGCCCAGACUCCUACGGGAGGCAGCAGUGGGGAAUAUUGGACAAUGGGGGGAACCCUGAUCCAGCCAUGCCGCGUGUGUGAAGAAGGCCUUUUGGUUGUAAAGCACUUUAAGCGAGGAGGAGGCKYACCAGGWUAAUACCCKAGAUGCGUGGACGUUACUCGCAGAAUAAGCACCGGCUAACUCUGUGCCAGCAGCCGCGGUAAUACAGAGGGUGCGAGCGUUAAUCGGAUUUACUGGGCGUAAAGCGCGCGUAGGUGGCUAAUUAAGUCAAAUGUGAAAUCCCCGAGCUUAACUUGGGAAUUGCAUUCGAUACUGGUUAGCUAGAGUAUGGGAGAGGAUGGUAGAAUUCCAGGUGUAGCGGUGAAAUGCGUAGAGAUCUGGAGGAAUACCGAUGGCGAAGGCAGCCAUCUGGCCUAAUACUGACACUGAGGUGCGAAAGCAUGGGGAGCAAACAGGAUUAGAUACCCUGGUAGUCCAUGCCGUAAACGAUGUCUACUAGCCGUUGGGGCCUUUGAGGCUUUAGUGGCGCAGCUAACGCGAUAAGUAGACCGCCUGGGGAGUACGGUCGCAAGACUAAAACUCAAAUGAAUUGACGGGGGCCCGCACAAGCGGUGGAGCAUGUGGUUUAAUUCGAUGCAACGCGAAGAACCUUACCUGGYCUUGACAUACDRAGAACUUUCCAGAGAUGGAUUGGUGCCUUCGGGAACUYUGAUACAGGUGCUGCAUGGCUGUCGUCAGCUCGUGUCGUGAGAUGUUGGGUUAAGUCCCGCAA
rnacentral:rRNA from 1 species